GAUGAACGCUGGCGGCGUGCCUAAUACAUGCAAGUCGAGCGAACAGACGAGGAGCUUGCUCCUCUGACGUUAGCGGCGGACGGGUGAGUAACACGUGGAUAACCUACCUAUAAGACUGGGAUAACUUCGGGAAACCGGAGCUAAUACCGGAUAAUAUAUUGAACCGCAUGGUUCAAUAGUGAAAGACAGUUUUGCUGUCACUUAUAGAUGGAUCCGCGCCGCAUUAGCUAGUUGGUAAGGUAACGGCUUACCAAGGCAACGAUGCGUAGCCGACCUGAGAGGGUGAUCGGCCACACUGGAACUGAGACACGGUCCAGACUCCUACGGGAGGCAGCAGUAGGGAAUCUUCCGCAAUGGGCGAAAGCCUGACGGAGCAACGCCGCGUGAGUGAUGAAGGUCUUCGGAUCGUAAAACUCUGUUAUUAGGGAAGAACAAAUGUGUAAGUAACUAUGCACGUCUUAACGGUACCUAAUCAGAAAGCCACGGCUAACUACGUG
rnacentral:rRNA from 1 species